AUUGAACGCUGGCGGCAUGCCUUACACAUGCAAGUCGAACGGCAGCACGGGAGCAAUCCUGGUGGCGAGUGGCGAACGGGUGAGUAAUACAUCGGAACGUGCCCAGUAGUGGGGGAUAACCCGGCGAAAGCCGGACUAAUACCGCAUACGACCUACGGGUGAAAGCGGGGGAUCGCAAGACCUCGCGCUAUCGGAGCGGCCGAUGUCAGAUUAGCUAGUUGGUGGGGUAAAGGCCUACCAAGGCGACGAUCUGUAGCUGGUCUGAGAGGACGACCAGCCACACUGGGACUGAGACACGGCCCAGACUCCUACGGGAGGCAGCAGUGGGGAAUUUUGGACAAUGGGCGCAAGCCUGAUCCAGCCAUGCCGCGUGCGGGAAGAAGGCCUUCGGGUUGUAAACCGCUUUUGUCAGGGAAGAAACGCUCCGGGCUAUACCACGGAGUAAUGACGGUACCUGAAGAAUAAGCACCGGCUAACUACGUG
rnacentral:rRNA from 1 species